rnacentral:rRNA from 1 species
AUUGAACGCUGGCGGCAGGCUUAACACAUGCAAGUCGAGCGAGCGGCGGACGGGUGAGUAAUGUCUGGGAAACUGCCUGAUGGAGGGGGAUAACUACUGGAAACGGUAGAUAAUACCGCAUACCCUCAGAUGUGCCCAGAUGGGAUUAGCUAGUAGGUGGGGUAAUGGCUCACCUAGGCUACGAUCCCUAGCUGGGCUGAGAGGAUGACCAGCCACACUGGAACUUGGACACGGUCCAGACGCCGACGGGAGGCAUCAGUGGGGAAUAUUGCACAAUGGGCGCAAGCCUGAUGCAGCCAUGCCGCGUGUGUGAAGAAGGCCUUCGGGUUGUAAAGCACUUUCAGCGAGGAGGCGUUACUCGCAGAAGAAGCACCGGCUAACUCCGUGCCAGCAGCCGCGGUAAUUC